CCAGACUCCUACGGGAGGCAGCAGUGGGGAAUAUUGCACAAUGGGCGCAAGCCUGAUGCAGCGACGCCGCGUGAGGGAUGGAGGCCUUCGGGUUGUAAACCUCUUUUGUUAGGGAGCAAGGCACUUUGUGUUGAGUGUACCUUUCGAAUAAGCACCGGCUAACUACGUGCCAGCAGCCGCGGUAAUACGUAGGGUGCAAGCGUUAUCCGGAAUUAUUGGGCGUAAAGGGCUCGUAGGCGGUUCGUCGCGUCCGGUGUGAAAGUCCAUCGCUUAACGGUGGAUCCGCGCCGGGUACGGGCGGGCUUGAGUGCGGUAGGGGAGACUGGAAUUCCCGGUGUAACGGUGGAAUGUGUAGAUAUCGGGAAGAACACCAAUGGCGAAGGCAGGUCUCUGGGCCGUUACUGACGCUGAGGAGCGAAAGCGUGGGGAGCGAACAGGAUUAGAUACCCUGGUAGUCCACGCCGUAAACGGUGGAUGCUGGAUGUGGGGCCCGUUCCACGGGUUCCGUGUCGGAGCUAACGCGUUAAGCAUCCCGCCUGGGGAGUACGGCCGCAAGGCUAAAACUCAAAGAAAUUGACGGGGGCCCGCACAAGCGGCGGAGCAUGCGGAUUAAUUCGAUGCAACGCGAAGAACCUUACCUGGGCUUGACAUGUUCCCGACGAUCCCAGAGAUGGGGUUUCCCUUCGGGGCGGGUUCACAGGUGGUGCAUGGUCGUCGUCAGCUCGUGUCGUGAGAUGUUGGGUUAAGUCCCGCAACGAGCGCAACCCUCGCCCCGUGUUGCCAGCGGAUUAUGCCGGGAACUCACGGGGGACCGCCGGGGUUAACUCGGAGGAAGGUGGGGAUGACGUCAGAUCAUCAUGCCCCUUACGUCCAGGGCUUCACGCAUGCUACAAUGGCCGGUACAACGGGAUGCGACAGUGCGAGCUGGAGCGGAUCCCUGAAAACCGGUCUCAGUUCGGAUCGCAGUCUGCAACUCGACUGCGUGAAGGCGGAGUCGCUAGUAAUCGCGAAUCAGCAACGUCGCGGUGAAUGCGUUCCCGGGCCUUGUACACACCGCCCGUCAAGUCAUGAAAGUGG
rnacentral:rRNA from 1 species